GGCACGAUAGCCGGAUAGUCGCCGCCGUGGCCUUCCACGCCGCGAAUGCCUGUCGAGUAGAUCUCGGCUACGAGAUCGUUCUUGCGCAUGCCA
rnacentral:tRNA from 1 species